GAGGGAGUAGCUUAAAUGGUAGAUCGCAUGCUUAGCAGUCAUGAAGUCCUGGGUUCAAUCCCUGGCUCCUCCU
rnacentral:tRNA from 1 species